GGGAGAGGUCUGGGGUCUCAAACUUUAUAAUUCUUUUUUUAUUUUCCCAGCCUGGCCUUACCUUCGUCUGUGUCUAGAGCUUCUCAGCUGAAUGUCUCCAGGUUUUAACUUUCUCAAAGUAAAAUAUCGGGGAAGAAAGAGACAUGCAACCUGCUCUGGCCCUUUUCCUUUGCAAGCAUACAAAUGGAGAUUCAUCUCUCUGAAAUUUUGUUUCAAUUGUGUGGAUGCCUGGUUGAAACUUCAGUUAUUACAUCUUAAUAUGUGUAUAUACAUAUUCUAAAAGUGUAAACACAUGUAUCAAUAACAACCUCAAAAUACUUGUACUGGGCAUUACAAUUUAAAAAACAUUUCCACUUAUAUUAUCUCAUGUUAUCGUCACAACGAUCUUGGAAAUAGCUAUUCAAGGUACUGUUUUAUUCAUUCCAUUUUCCAAACAAACAAACAAAAAACUGAGCAGCAGAAAAGUCUGAGCAACGCAACCAAGUUCGCACACCUGAGACUGCACCCUCAUCCUGAUUGCAGAUCCUGUACUUUUUUCGCUACACAUAUUAAACACCCAGGAGGGCUUUUUUUUUUUUUUAAAUGAAGGUACUGGGGAUUGUACCCAGGACUUCGUGCAUGCUAAGCAUGUGCUCUACCACUGAGCUACACCCUCCCCCAAGGGGGGCUUUAACAUUUACUCUCUCAUGACUUCAUUCUUUUACAGGAAGGAAGAGGGGGACUUAAGGGUAUGUCUGAGAACUCCGGGCGAGCAAUGACACAGGUGGCUCUGCUCACCCCUGGAAUCCUCCUGCUAGUAAACCCUGAGCGAGACGCUGCUUUGACAGGCAGCUAAAACCCACAGCCCCACCGGCCCGGGCUGGAGAGCUGGCUGAUGCUAGUGUCUGCGCCCUACACCCAUGUCACUGCACAUCAGUCAUUGCGGCACAGUGAGGAACUUACAGAGGUGACUUCCCCUGAGACUGAGUCGACAUCCCCUCAGAAUAUGGAGGUGAACCUUGUCACAGCUCCAGCAGCCUUUCAGAGAGAUGUCAGCUCACACAGAUGGAAGCUCACGUGAGUCCCAAAGCCACAGCCCAGAAUGCUAAGCAGCUCUCUUUCACCUGACAGCUGGGGUGAGCAGAAGCCACCUCUGCUUUCUCGCUCUCUCUUUCUUCUUAACUAAAAACAACAAGGACAAACAACAACAACAACAACAACAACAACAAGAAACCACCCUUUCUGAGCUGGGUGAGGACCACAAACUUGCGGUGAGGAGGAAGGACAGGCCCCCCAGACACGUGGCCCAUGUUGUUUCUCCUUUUGGAGCUUACUAAUGACAGCAGCUGUGUCCCAGCUGCCUUCACUGUUGACUGAAGAUGUGAAGAAAAAGAAAGAAAGGAAAGAGAAUAGAGGAACUAAGUGAACUGCAAACAGUAUAAGCAUCUUCUUCUCCAGAAUCCUCCCUUCCAAACAGGGCUUUAUGAAAUGAGGUGGGGAAUCUGUGACUUCCCAAGAAAGCACAAAAUACAGCACCAAAUAAACUACAGACUAUUACUGGGAAUACAGUUUCCUUUGAAGCUAACUCGUCACAUAUUUUCUGCAGCCUUGGCAAUCUUAACUUCUCAGCAUGCUCUAGUCAAGCUGUUCUCUCUUGGGAACCUGGUUGGAAGAUGAUCAUUUGUUCACCAGGGUGCUGUUCCUGACAGAUGCCUACCAGAGUGAUCCAGGUUCCAAACUCUGGGGUCCUCUGUUAACUCCAGAAAAAUUUUCCAGUGGCCCCUGAAGCUGACUCUGCAAAUGUCAGCAACUAACUCUGUAACGUGCCUUUGCUGUGUUUCUUAAGAUUAUUCAGCUCUGCUUAAGGAAGUAAGAGAAACAAAUAAGGAGGACAGAUGAAACUGGGUAGAGCAACAGGUAGCUUGUGAGCCAGAUAAACUUCACAUAAUGUGUGUGGUAAGACUAAGUGGGUGAGGAAGCUCUGAGUCAUGGGAGCCACAGACAGAGCAGAAAAUGUGUGUGCUGAGCACUGAGAGGAAAGGAUGGAAAGAUGUGAGGUUCAUAAUGCGUCCAUAUGUGAACGACACACCCAAGGCACACUAAAUAUAAGGGAAGCAUAUGAGAACACAAAUAAGGUCUUAAAUCAGCCACCCCUGGUGACCCCAUUCUGGCCUCAAAAAUCCUCUGCACAAGAAAUACAGAGUCCAGAGCUGCACCUCAGGCUAACUGGUGAACUACAGUCACCAGGUGGAGCUGUCCCUGAGUCUUCCCAACAGAGCACGUGUGCCGUUGACUCAGGCACCUCUGUCUGCUGAGCUUCCUUCCUCGGCCCUCAGCUCUGACGGUCAUAGCCCCGCCACCACACAGAAGGCCACCGUGGUGGUGGUAGUGGCGGUGGUGGGGUCAUGUGAACACUGCGUGCCCCAAGAUUCAGGCAGUUGGUCCCUCGCCCUGCCUGUAUUCUAUCUGAAUUGUUCUAAUUGCCUCUAUCCUGCUCCCCUUGCUUUUCACUAUUUCACUAUUGAUUUAAUAAACCAUGUGAUUCACACAUCUUAA